CUUGGAGUUUCCAGCAAAUUUUGCUGCAACUAUCAUUUUUAUCAUGGAAAUGUGAGGAAACAAAUCAAAAUUGCUCUGAGUUUAUUGAGGGUUUUGUGCUUUCAAAACAGUGCAUUUAAAAGAAGGGGUCAUCCAAGGAGGCAUGUAGAGCGCUCUGUGAAAACUGAGUCUGUUGAUGCCAAUUACCGGUCCGGCGGGCACCAGUUUGAGGUCGGGAUGUCUACAGUGGGUACCAUGGUGUAUGGCAACACAUAAUAUGCUGCAGGGCUCUGUGAUCAAGAUGAUGAGUGUACUCAGGCUCACAGAGGGACUUGAAAAGCAGUGCUUCCCAAACCGUGCUGGACACAGGCUCAUUCUGUACGCAUGCCACCAGCACAAUGAGUUAGUUAAUAGAAAAUCUACCGCUCCAUUGUGAUGCAAGCUGUGGUGGACCACUGCAGACAGUUCUUGGAUGUCUGCAAGGGUUGAGCCAGUAAAGGGUAUGAUGUCAGAACUUUUUAAGCCUGAUUUUUUUUAGGCAUGGACCUAAUGGCACACUCUUCUGUCCUCACAAAAUUGUGUACCUACCCCUACAGCAUAUUAGCACUUCAGGAACCAGUCCAUGAAGAUACCGUCCCCAGCAGCUUGUACCAAGACAUAGAACAAAUGAAGGAUACCGUUCCAUUGGAGUCUCUGCCCAUUUUAGAAUGAUUUGGCCAGCUGCUGGGAAAGCUCUUCCUCUAUAGGCCACCCCCAGGCCUUAAAAAACAGAGCCAAAUUCUUCUGCACCUGCGAGAAAACUUUGCUGCCUAUAGAUUCAUCUUUGAAUCAUUUUCUGCUGGGACGUGGCACAAUGCCUGGUACAAAGACAGCCAUGAAUGCAGUGAUUCAGCAUGUGCCAUCUCAUCCAUAUGAGCCACUUUUCUAUGAUGCGAUUGGCCCUUCACUGCUGCUGUACCAGCCACCUCCUCUGCAUUACCAUCCGGACAGACUCCUUGUAC